AUACAGAGGGUGCAAGCGUUAAUCGGAUUUACUGGGCGUAAAGCGCGCGUAGGUGGCUAAUUAAGUCAAAUGUGAAAUCCCCGAGCUUAACUUGGGAAUUGCAUUCGAUACUGGUUAGCUAGAGUAUGGGAGAGGAUGGUGGAAUUCCAGGUGUAGCGGUGAAAUGCGUAGAGAUCUGGAGGAAUACCGAUGGCGAAGGCAGCCAUCUGGCCUAAUACUGACACUGAGGUGCGAAAGCAUGGGGAGCGAACAGGAUUAGAUACCCUGGUAGUCCAUGCCGUAAACGAUGUCUACUAGCCGUUGGGGCCCUUGAGGCUUUAGUGGCGCAGCUAACGCGAUAAGUAGACCGCCUGGGGAGUACGGUCGCAAGACUAAAACUCAAAUGAAUUGACGGGG
rnacentral:rRNA from 1 species